GAUGAAGAACGCAGUGAAAUGCGAUAAGUAGUGUGAAUUGCAGAAUUCAGUGAAUCAUCGAAUCUUUGAACGCACAUUGCGCCCCUUGGUAUCCCGAGGGGCAUGACUGUUCGAGCGUCAUUUCACCACUCAAGCCUGGCUUGGUGUUGGGCGACGUCCCCUUUGGGGACGCGCCUCGAAACGCUCGGCGGCGUGGCACCGGCUUUAAGCGUAGCAGAAUCUUUCGCUUUGGAAGUCGGGGCCCCGUCUGCCGGAAGACCUACUCGCAAGGUUGACCUCGGAUCAGGCAGGGAUACCCGCUGAACUUAAGCAUAUCAAUAAGCGGAGGA
rnacentral:misc_RNA from 1 species